GUUAACCAGUGGCUUGGUUAAGAGAACUCACUGGAGCCAUAGUGAAAGCGAGUCUUCAUAGGGCAAUUGUUAUUGCUUAUAGACUCGAACUUGGGUGAUCUAUCCAUAUCCAGGAUGAAACUUAGGUGAAACUAAGUGGAGGUCCGAACCGACUGAUGUUGAAGAAUUAGUGGAUGAGUUGUGGUUAGGGGUGAAACGCCACUCGAACACAGAACUAGUUGG
rfam:Gossypium raimondii chromosome 11, whole genome shotgun sequence.